rnacentral:rRNA from 1 species
GAUGAACGCUAGCUACAGGCUUAACACAUGCAAGUCGAGGGGCAGCAUGGUCUUAGCUUGCUAAGGCCGAUGGCGACCGGCGCACGGGUGAGUAACACGUAUCCAACCUGCCGUCUACUCUUGGACAGCCUUCUGAAAGGAAGAUUAAUACAAGAUGGCAUCAUGAGUCCACAUGUUCACAUGAUUAAAGGUAUUCCGGUAGACGAUGGGGAUGCGUUCCAUUAGAUAGUAGGCGGGGUAACGGCCCACCUAGUCUUCGAUGGAUAGGGGUUCUGAGAGGAAGGUCCCCCACAUUGGAACUGAGACACGGUCCAAACUCCUACGGGAGGCAGCAGUGAGGAAUAUUGGUCAAUGGGCGAGAGCCUGAACCAGCCAAGUAGCGUGAAGGAUGACUGCCCUAUGGGUUGUAAACUUCUUUUAUAAAGGAAUAAAGUCGGGUAUGCAUACCCGUUUGCAUGUACUUUAUGAAUAAGGAUCGGCUAACUCCGUGCCAGCAGCCGCGGUAAUACGGAGGAUCCGAGCGUUAUCCGGAUUUAUUGGGUUUAAAGGGAGCGUAGAUGGAUGUUUAAGUCAGUUGUGAAAGUUUGCGGCUCAACCGUAAAAUUGCAGUUGAUACUGGAUAUCUUGAGUGCAGUUGAGGCAGGCGGAAUUCGUGGUGUAGCGGUGAAAUGCUUAGAUAUCACGAAGAACUCCGAUUGCGAAGGCAGCCUGCUAAGCUGCAACUGACAUUGAGGCUCGAAAGUGUGGGUAUCAAACAGGAUUAGAUACCCUGGUAGUCCACACGGUAAACGAUGAAUACUCGCUGUUUGCGAUAUACAGCAAGCGGCCAAGCGAAAGCGUUAAGUAUUCCACCUGGGGAGUACGCCGGCAACGGUGAAACUCAAAGGAAUUGACGGGGGCCCGCACAAGCGGAGGAACAUGUGGUUUAAUUCGAUGAUACGCGAGGAACCUUACCCGGGCUUAAAUUGCAGAUGAAUUACGGUGAAAGCCGUAAGCCGCAAGGCAUCUGUGAAGGUGCUGCAUGGUUGUCGUCAGCUCGUGCCGUGAGGUGUCGGCUUAAGUGCCAUAACGAGCGCAACCCUUGUUGUCAGCUACUAACAGGUUCUGCUGAGGACUCUGACAAGACUGCCAUCGUAAGAUGUGAGGAAGGUGGGGAUGACGUCAAAUCAGCACGGCCCUUACGUCCGGGGCUACACACGUGUUACAAUGGGGGGGUACAGAGGGCCGCUACCACGCGAGUGGAUGCCAAUCCCAAAAACCUCUCUCAGUUCGGACUGGAGUCUGCAACCCGACUCCACGAAGCUGGAUUCGCUAGUAAUCGCGCAUCAGCCACGGCGCGGUGAAUACGUUCCCGGGCCUUGUACACACCGCCCGUCAAGCCAUGGGAGCCGGGGGUACCUGAAGUGCGUAACCGCGAGGAGCGCCCUAGGGUAAAACUGGUGACUGGGGCU